CACAAUGACUCCCAGCAAGACACCAGAGCCUUGGGCAGGGCUUCCCCAGUCUUGCCACACUGUCCAUCUGGGCUGGGAAUGGGAUGGGGGGCUGAUGAUCUCUGAGUCCUCAAUCAAGGAGUAGAACUUAUUUCCCAAGAAAAGACAAAAAAAUAGCUGGUUCAUCACUGCAACUAGCUGAUCACCAUUGGGACCCCUGGUCUUUCCUACUUUUUCUAACUGCCCUCUCCCUGCAGGAAAAAAGCCAGUCUUCUCAAGAAUCUUACUUCUCCGCAGAGGCUCUGGCCACAUUCAGACACCAGUUCCUGAGAGAUCUGUGCAGGAGGGCCCAGCUUAUCAGCACUGUCUCUAGAUCCUCAGCUCUGAGAGCUCGGCUAUCUCUCUACUCCCAAGACCACCUUCCAUUGGACAACAUCUGGUAUCAGGAAGAACUGAAGCAGCACUCGGCAUCCAGGCAGUGUGGGACAGGGUUCAGAGACAGUGAAAGGUGGUCUGCUACAAUCAGCUUGUCAUCUCUGAGCUCCAAAGGGAGGAAUCCAAUUGAGAUCUUCAAGUGCGGCU
rnacentral:lncRNA from 1 species